GCAAACCUCCUUCUCUUUGCUGGCUUCCUCGGGAGGGCAGAGAGGGGAAGAGUGUGGGGCACUCAGGUCGUGGGACAUCUGGUUUUAGAAAAAUAGUCCAAGGGCUCUGAGCUGUUGACAGCUGGGAGCACCUCUUGGAAGAAGCUCUAAGGGGCAGUUUCCUAUUCAACAAAAACCCCACAUCCAGGCCAGCGUGCAGUGGAAAAUUUACUCCACAGCUGGUGGCGGGCCAAAAAGGGCCAAGGACCAAGCACCUUGCCUUCUGAUACACUUUGGACGUUUCCUCUGCUCCAAAUCGUGCUGAAAUGGAUCUUUAGCCGGGUAUAGUGGCAUGCGCCUAUAAUUCCAAGUACUUGGGAGGCUGAGACAGGAGAAUCGCUUGAACCCAGGAGGUGGAGGUUGCAGUGAGCUGAGAUCACGCCACUGCACUCCAGCCUGGGCCACAGAGUGAGACUCCGUUUCAAAAAAAAAGAAACGUGAUUCCCAGUGUUCCAGCACUAGAGGUGGAGCUCAGUGGGAGGCGUCUGGGUCACGGGGGCAGACCUUGCGUGAGUGGCUUGGCUUCUUCCCCGUAGUAAUGAGUUCUCCCUCUGAGUUUAGAUAAGAGCUGGGUGUUUAAGAGCCCAGCACCUCCCUCCCUC
rnacentral:lncRNA from 1 species